GAUGAACGCUGGCGGCGUGCCUAAUACAUGCAAGUCGAGCGAACAGACAAGGAGCUUGCUCCUUUGACGUUAGCGGCGGACGGGUGAGUAACACGUGGGUAACCUACCUAUAAGACUGGGAUAACUUCGGGAAACCGGAGCUAAUACCGGAUAAUAUUUCGAACCGCAUGGUUCGAUAGUGAAAGAUGGUUUUGCUAUCACUUAUAGAUGGACCCGCGCCGUAUUAGCUAGUUGGUAAGGUAACGGCUUACCAAGGCGACGAUACGUAGCCGACCUGAGAGGGUGAUCGGCCACACUGGAACUGAGACACGGUCCAGACUCCUACGGGAGGCAGCAGUAGGGAAUCUUCCGCAAUGGGCGAAAGCCUGACGGAGCAACGCCGCGUGAGUGAUGAAGGUCUUCGGAUCGUAAAACUCUGUUAUUAGGGAAGAACAUACGUGUAAGUAACUAUGCACGUCUUGACGGUACCUAAUCAGAAAGCCACGGCUAACUACGUGCCAGCAGCCGCGGUAAUACGUAGGUGGCAAGCGUUAUCCGGAAUUAUUGGGCGUAAAGCGCGCGUAGGCGGUUUUUUAAGUCUGAUGUGAAAGCCCACGGCUCAACCGUGGAGGGUCAUUGGAAACUGGAAAACUUGAGUGCAGAAGAGGAAAGUGGAAUUCCAUGUGUAGCGGUGAAAUGCGCAGAGAUAUGGAGGAACACCAGUGGCGAAGGCGACUUUCUGGUCUGUAACUGACGCUGACGUGCGAAAGCGUGGGGAUCAAACAGGAUUAGAUACCCUGGUAGUCCACGCCGUAAACGAUGAGUGCUAAGUGUUAGGGGGUUUCCGCCCCUUAGUGCUGCAGCUAACGCAUUAAGCACUCCGCCUGGGGAGUACGACCGCAAGGUUGGAACUCAAAGGAAUUGACGGGGACCCGCACAAGCGGUGGAGCAUGUGGUUUAAUUCGAAGCAACGCGAAGAACCUUACCAAAUCUUGACAUCCUUUGACAACUCUAGAGAUAGAGCCUUCCCCUUCGGGGGACAAAGUGACAGGUGGUGCAUGGUUGUCGUCAGCUCGUGUCGUGAGAUGUUGGGUUAAGUCCCGCAACGAGCGCAACCCUUAAGCUUAGUUGCCAUCAUUAAGUUGGGCACUCCAAGUUGACUGCCGGUGACAAACCGGAGGAAGGUGGGGAUGACGUCAAAUCAUCAUGCCCCUUAUGAUUUGGGCUACACACGUGCUACAAUGGACAAUACAAAGGGCAGCGAAACCGCGAGGUCAAGCAAAUCCCAUAAAGUUGUUCUCAGUUCGGAUUGUAGUCUGCAACUCGACUACAUGAAGCUGGAAUCGCUAGUAAUCGUAGAUCAGCAUGCUACGGUGAAUACGUUCCCGGGUCU
rnacentral:rRNA from 1 species